GAUGAACGCUAGCGGCAGGCUUAACACAUGCAAGUCGAGGGGCAGCACGGGUAGCAAUAUCUGGUGGCGACCGGCGCAAGGGUGCGUAACGCGUGAGCAACAUGCCCGUAUCAGGGGAAUAAUCCAGGGAAACUUGGUCUAAUACCCCAUAGUAAAUAUUAAAGGCAUCUUUAAUAUUUUAAAGCUUUGGUGGAUACGGAUUGGCUCGCGUGACAUUAGCUGGAUGGUAAGGUAACGGCUUACCAUGGCUACGAUGUCUAGGGGUUCUGAGAGGAAGAUCCGCCACACUGGAACUGAGACACGGUCCAGACUCCUACGGGGGGCAGCAGUGAGGAAUAUUGGACAAUGGAUGGAAAUCUGAUCCAGCCAUGCCGCGUGCAGGAAGACGGCCCUAUGGAUUGUAAACUGCUUUUAUAUGGGAGCAAUAAGGCCUACGAGUAGGUUGAUGAGAGUACCAUAUGAAUAAGCACCGGCUAACUCCGUGCCAGCCGCCGCAGUAAAAC
rnacentral:rRNA from 1 species